AGGAUUUGUCUUCAGAGGUGCUGCCAGCAGCUGGGUGCUUGCUCAGGAGCCUUGGGGCAGAACUUCUGUGUCCAAAACCCGAGAGGGCUGUGUCCACAUCCUGGCCCAGCUCUCUCAUGAACCCUUCCCAUGAUGCUAGAGGGGAUUCCUCACUUUGGACCAUCUCUUUUACACUGGAACCCAGCACAGGACAGCAUUUUCCUCUCCCAGUUUUCCCACUAGAGGAUGGCAGUGCCUAGAGCCACAAUGUCAGAGGCUAACAAAUGAUUAACCAGAACAUCAAGAAAUGAAGUACAGAGGAUCCCUGGAGGUCUAAUCCAACAUCAAGUGUGAGCUGCUGCUUUCCCGUUCUGGGCAGACACAACAAUUCCUCUCCUGGCCUGGGAACCAAGGACACCACACUGCCUCAAGGCCCAGAGAUGUGAACAAAAAUUUCCCUUCCUGGAUUACAGAAACAUUGUCCAGAGCAAGUGCUGCCUGUGGAGUUGUCAUGGAAUGGUUUGGGUUGGAAGAGACCUUAAAGAUCAUCUUAUCCAAAUUCCUUGCCAUGGAAAAGAACACCUUCCACUAGAGCAGAGUGCUCCAAGCCUCGUCCAGCCUGGUCAUGAACACUUCCAAGCAACGUCGGCAUCUGCACAUCCCGGCUGGUGCCAGGGCUGCCAGCAAUGCCAGAAAUUUGGGAAUUCUGGAGGCAUCACAUUCCCCCACUGGGCAACCACUGGACCAACAGGAGGGUGAAAUAUCAGAGAGAAUAACCUUGGAGAAGAACCCAAUAACCUUGGCAUGAACCGCUGCAUUUCCAGUUAAAUAGAAUAAACAAAAGCAGAGUGGUGGCUCAAGGUUUCUAAUUCCAAAAGAGCAGACUAAGAAAUUACAGAAAUUACAGAAACUAAUUAGUGGAGUCAACGUGUUUGAAGUGCCAGGGGACUAAGUGUGAAGGAGCUUUGGAAUCUGGAGUCAAGGCUUCAAAAUCUGUUUGAAGUGCACCACAAACAAGGAGGCAGCAAUUUACAGAAAAUGGAAGUGGCUCUUCAACAUUUGCUUAAAACCCAAAUGAUCUGGAAGAUAGCAGACAGCCAAAAGCUGGAUUUUAGGGGUGCAUUUUCUCCAGAUUUACAGCCAGUGCAGCGGAGUUGUCAGGAGCAGCUGUCACUGCAGCCCUAAUGGAAGCUGUGAAACAUCCUUGGAUAUCAGUUGUGUUUGAACAGGACCCUGUGGAUCCCUUCCCAACCAGAGCCUUUUCCCUGCUGUGAUGGAUGAAAAAAUAUUCAGGAGAGAAUAAGAAAGUUUGGAACUGCAGUUUUUGAAAAUGGGAUUAUUCUCCCACUUCCUGCUGGGGCAGGAGUCAAACACCCCAGGACUGUGGCACUGCUGCUGUUCUGACUGUGGCUUUUGUCUUCAUGGUAGCACGGAGUGCUUUAUGGGCUGCAGUGCAAUCUCCCUGUGAAUAAUAAAUCACUGUUCUUCCAGUGCCAGCUCUGACCUUUUCUGACUGAGAUUGUAGCACAUCAUCAUAAAAUAACGUCCAUGUGAUGGAGAAUCACCUGCCCUGGCAAGAGGGGUUCUGCACAGGGAUCCUUAAAGAGCUGGCUGGCUCUGAGCAGCUACAAAUGGGUGACACAACCUGACAAACUGUCCUGGAAAAGCAGCAAUAAAUCCCUGUUUUCAACAGUGUCUGGAAAUCUCUCAAGAUACAAAGGAGCAAGGGUGUGAUGAGCAUUGCCACGUGUGGCGAGCGUUCUCUAAGGUAAACCCACGAGGUUCUCCUCAAGGAAAUGCUGCUGCCGUUGAUGUUAGUCAGUAUAAAUAUUGAAAUGAGGCCUGUCUUUAAAGAUAUUGAUAUUUUUUCAGAUUAACAGGUUUGGAAAGCUCUCUAAUCACAGCAGGGUUUUUUUAAAUGUAAUUAAAUGUAUUCCGGGCACUUCCCGAUUUCAUUCUUUACUCUGAAAAAUUGUUAGAUUUUCGUACAAGUUCAAUCCCCUUUAGAACUGAGUAUGUGAAGAAGUUCUUUGGAUUGGAUUUCUUACUGUGGAAUAGUUUAUUCUCUUCAUAAAAUCUCUUGGUGUAUGGAUUUUCUACAAGGUAGUGACUGUAGUUGUUUUAUUUAUUGCAAACUCCAGAUGACUAUAGAAGUUCAAAGAAAGUACUUGAAUUUUAAAAAAAAGGGAAUUAUUACAUAUCUCUGUUGGACUGCCAAACUUAUACUACAAUAUUUCCAUUUACCCUUCUACCCAUGUGUCUACAUAUACAUAGAUUUAAAAAUAUUGUAUAGAAUAUGAAAAAACCAUUUCUGCCUUUCUUCCUCAUGUGUUUAUUAGUAGUUUCUGUCAUUUAAAGCACAGUCAUUUAGUUCUCUGAGCAAGCUGAUAUAUAUAAUUUUUAUAAAAUAUCUAUGACUUGGGGAACUUGCAUGUAUGAGUUAUGAAAAGAAGCACAGGGAAAUUUUUCCUUUCCUUUUCUCCCCGCUCCAUCAUGUCAUGCUUGCAGUUAACCUUUACUUAUUUAAUCCUACUUUAACCAUAAUUGCAUAUUCUCUACUCCAUUCAUUUGGCAUCAUUCAAUUUUUGUGUGAUCUUUCCAUUUUUGCAGUAUUGGAAAGUAAUCUAACCAAAGUUUCAAAUGUUUCUUCUGCUCGCAUUAUGACACAAGAAUAAAAAAUAUCACCAAGGAAACGGAGAGACUUCAGAGACAAUUUAUUCUUUUAAGUCAGACCAAAGUUUAAUUUAGAUGAAAAUCCUGGAAGACAUAAUUCCUCACAAAGUCAGUAAUGUUCUUCUCA